AGGGCAAGUCUGGUGCCAGCAGCCGCGGUAAUUCCAGCUCCAAUAGCGUAUAUUAAAGUUGUUGCAGUUAAAAAGCUCGUAGUUGAAUUUCGGGAUUGACGUGAUGGUCGUGCCUUAAGGGGUAUGAACUGUCGCAGUUGAUUUCUCACCUUCUGGAGAAGCAUGAUGUCCUUAAUUGGGUGUCGUGUGGAACCAGGACCUUUACCUUGAAAAAAUUAGAGUGUUUAAAGCAGGCAUUUUGCUCGAAUACAUUAGCAUGGAAUAAUAGAAUAGGACGGCAUGGUUCUAUUUUGUUGGUUUCUAGGAUCACCGUAAUGAUUAAUAGGGAUAGUUGGGGGCAUUAGUAUUCAAUUGUCAGAGGUGAAAUUCUUGGAUUUAUUGAAGACUAACUACUGCGAAAGCAUUUGCCAAGGAUGUUUUCAUUAAUCAAGAACGAAAGUUAGGGGAUCGAAGACGAUCAGAUACCGUCGUAGUCUUAACCAUAAACUAUGCCGACUAGGAAUCAGACGAUGUUAAUUUUUUAAUGACUCGUUCGGCGCCUUACGGGAAAC
rnacentral:rRNA from 1 species